ACCUAAUCUAUCUAUCUAUCUAUCUAUCUAUCUAUCUAUCUAUCUAUGGUUCGAAAAGGUAGAAAUAUAACAUAAUUUUAUAUGAGCCUUUAUUAUUUAACUGAGUUGUUUUUAAUUUAAUUUUUAUUUUAUUAUUUUUUGUUAUUUUUUUUUACAACGGUACUGUAACUGGUCAGUAGGAAGACACUAGAUGCCGCUCUGUUCUUGUAGAUACAACGACAGGCGAGCGAAGAAGUCUUGGGGUCCUGUUUCAUGUGUUUCUGGGAUACUGGCGGACUGACUGUGCCCUGAAUGUCAUGGCGACCAACAGCGGGCAACUUUCCCGAGGAUUCGUAACUUACACAAAUCAAGAAAUCCACAACACUGACUGAAAACACAGGGUCAACACAUUUUGUCCAAUUUACAGAGCAAAGACUACAGAAAUCAUCACCAAAACCAAAAAUUGGGAUUCAGUUUUUGAAAUGGAGUGUGCAGUAAACACUGGGCCUGAUGAUGAGCCAUCUGAUACUGCUGUUCCAUAUGAGGUCAUUACUGUAACGGAUGGAAGUGAGACCCCAAAAAAGAAAACAAGAAACAUAAGAAACACAAAAGUAAAAAGAAACGUAAGAAGCGUAAAGGUGAAAAGGAGAGUAGCUC
rnacentral:lncRNA from 1 species